CACGUAGUUAGCCGUCCCUUUCUGGUUAGUUACCGUCACGUAAUGGAUUUUCCACUCCCAUUACCGUUCUUCUCUAACAACAGAGCUUUACGAUCCGAAAACCUUCUUCACUCACGCGGCGUUGCUCGGUCAGGGUUGCCCCCAUUGCCGAAGAUUCCCUACUGCUGCCUCCCGUAGGAGUCUGGGCCGUGUCUCAGUCCCAGUGUGGCCGAUCACCCUCUCAGGUCGGCUAUGUAUCGUGGCCUUGGUGAGCCGUUACCUCACCAACUAGCUAAUACAACGCAGGUCCAUCUCAUAGUGAAGCAAUUGCUCCUUUUAAAUUUAGUACAUGAGUACUUAAUUGUCAUGCGGUAUUAGCUAUCGUUUCCAAUAGUUAUCCCCCGCUAUGAGGUAGGUUACCUACGCGUUACUCACCCGUUCGCAACUCAUCUGACUAGUGCAAGCACCAGUCUUCAGCGUUCUACUUGCAUGUAUUAGGCACGCCGCCAGCGUGUCCUCGUAGCCACGGUAC
rnacentral:rRNA from 1 species